rnacentral:rRNA from 1 species
UACGUAGGGACCGAGCGUUGUCCGGAUUCAUUGGGCGUAAAGAGCUCGUAGGCGGCCACUCAAGUCGAAUGUGAAACUUCGAGGCUUAACCUCGAGCCUGCAUUCGAUACUGGGCGGCUAGAGUCUGGUAGGGGGAUCUGGAAUUCCUGGUGUAGCGGUGGAAUGCGCAGAUAUCAGGAGGAACACCGGUGGCGAAGGCGGGAUCCUGGGCCAGUACUGACGCUGAGGAGCGAAAGCGUGGGGAGCGAACAGG